rnacentral:lncRNA from 1 species
AAGCGAAAAUGCAGAGAUGGAUGUCUUCUGAAAGAAAAAGUGAUGGAAGAUGGCUAAGACUGAAAAGUUUCACUUUCAGUCAAGUUAAAGUGAAAUUUUAAGGCUGACUUUUUAAUUUCUUGAAUUAAUUGGCAAAUACCUAACUUACUCUUCAGCGUGACUGCAAGUUCAAAAUUAGAGAGCAGAUUCAUUCAAAUUCUUCACCAACUGUUGUAAAUUUUCCUGCUGGUGGAAAAGAAGGGGAAUUCAUUUUCUCAAUGGCUACAUUGCUAGCCAUCAUCUGGAGCUCUCUGUCUAUAAACAUGAAACCAGAAACGUUGGCGGGAGGAGACAUUAACCAAUCCGCUACCAGGCUAAUGUGGUUUCUGGAUGAAAAACUGAGAACAGACUGACCCUCUGGCCGCAGCACUCACGUCAGGGAGACGUACUCGCAGGUGCAUGCUAUUUGGUGCGGUUUGCCAAGACAAAAUAGUCAUGCUUCCUGCUGUGCGGAGAGUUUCCAACUUGAGAUGGGCAAAGGAAACUCUAAGCAGUCUGCCCUUUGCAGAUGUAUUGAAAUAUGACUGAAGUUUGCUGCUUUUUCCAUGCUUUUAUCACUACUCUGAAAACAAGAAGAGGAGCAUAGCAAAUACCCACCUAGUUACUGAGCAAAAGGAUAUUUUGCCAGUAGUUCAGUGCCCCUGGCUUAAGAUGAGAGCAAAAAGCAACAUAAAGAUCAGCCUUCCCCUUCAUCAACACCACUUGAUUACAGAGACUUGGGUUUCCAUUCAGGAUCACAGAACCUGUCCUGGGACUACCGUCUCCUCAUUGGCACAGUCUCUCUUGCCACUCCACCCCUGCAUUGAUGUGCAACCCCUCCAAUCUCCCUGCGCUGUGGCUUUUGUCACCCAUAAAGAAUCAGAGGAAAGUAAGACUACCUCCAAAAUAUCCCAAAAUAACUUGAGGAAAAGAAUUCCAAAGGAGUAUCCCUUGUGGUCUUGGGGUUUACCCUUUAAUAAGAGUCUCAACAAUUUCCUCCUCUUGGAACAGUAAAAUUUUGACCCAUUUUUGGAGGAGAAAGGUUUUGGGGAGC